GACGAACGCUGGCGGCGCGCUUAACACAUGCAAGUCGAACGAUGAAGAAAAGAAUCGAAGCUUCGGCAGAAAUUCAUUUCGGAUUAGUGGCAGACGGGUGAGUAACGCGUGAGCAACCUACCUCUUACAAAGGGAUAGCCUCGGGAAACCGGGAUUAAUACCAUAUAACAUUGCGACGAAGCAUUUCGAUGCAAUCAAAGCUACGGCGGUAAGAGAUGGGCUCGCGUCCCAUUAACCGGAUGGUGAGGUAACGGCUCACCAUAGUGACGAUGGGUAACCGGCCUGAGAGGGUGAACGGUCACACUGGAACUGAGACACGGUCCAGACUCCUACGGGAGGCAGCAGUGGGGAAUAUUGCACAAUGGAGGGAACUCUGAUGCAGCGACGCCGCGUGAGUGAUGAAGGAAUUCGUUUCGUAAAACUCUGUUCUAUGGGAAGAAAAGGACUGUACCAUAGGAGAAAGCUCCGGCUAAAUACGUG
rnacentral:rRNA from 1 species